AACAGGCUUUAAGUAGGGCUUGUUUUAUGCUUUUUUGUUAUUAAUUGUGAGCUUUCAGGCCUUAGCUGCUGCCUGCUCUGGUGUUAGAAGUAUUUCCACUCCACUGGGCUCUCUGCAGUGCUCCACCUUGGGGGUGUCUGAGCCCCACAGGCUCGUGUCUUGCAAGGGUGUGCAAUCCCUAUAUUGCAGACAAGAACCAGGGCACAGGCUGGCAACGGCCGGGAGACCUCCCGAGAUGGGCACGCCACCGUCAGAUUUUGGGGAUCUUAUUUUUGCAGGCAGGCAGUGCCAAAUAGUGCUGUAGUGUGAUCCAGCCAAGCCAGGCACGUGGAAAAGGAGCCUUGCACGAGUGAAACCUGCAAGUCAAGCCACUAGCCGAGCAUCCCAUAGGAACAGGGACUAGGACAAGACGUUUCUGAGAUGCUAUUAGGCUAAUGUGACCUGAUCCAGCGGACUGCAGCAACAGCCUUCCAGGACGUCCGUCGACGGGGAGCGUGUAGCUUCACGCUGUCACCUCUCAUUGCCACUGCCUCGGGGAAGUGAUUCAGAUCCACAGAGGGGACAAAACGUUAUCAUGACUGGAUUUGAGCCCGAGCUCUCUGCCAGGCCCUUUGGGUAGAGAUGAGAACCACACAUUUUUGUUUGAGAAGUGGGAUGAGUCUGCUGAGAGGUGGUCAGGGUGUUCCUGGCUGGGACAAGUGUAGCAGACGUGCUGGGAGAUCAGAUGGACCGGUUCGCUCCGAGGCAGCACAGUUGGAGCCAUACACUGGUGUCCUCCUCCUCUGGGAUAGUCCCAUGUGAAGAGGUGACCUGGUGAAGGAUAGAUAUCUCUCCUCCCUCAGUGGCUUUAUACAUCGCUUCCUAUACUCACUGUGAUAUCUGACUUGGCAGCAGGAAUGAAAUCAACUUCUGUCAGAUGCUGAAGGCCACCAAAAUUGCCAAACUUUUCAUGUUUCCUCCACUUUGCUCGCUGGUUCUGGAACCAGAUCUGGAUACAGGCAAGAAAGAAAAGGCACAGAAAUGAACAGGAGAUGGAAGAGGAACUGCUCACAUCCAACUACUUUGCCUGCUCUCUGAGCAUCAAAAAACAUUGACCUCCAGCUUGGCAGAACCAGGAAUCUGAAGGAAAUCUAAAGGAAAACAUUGGGUUCAGCACAGCACCUUUCACAUUUUGCAUAGCAUGUGGGAUGUCUGGACUAUCAUGACAGCCUCUUUUCUCUCGCAGCUCACAGAAGAGCUAGGAUCUCCCUGUUUAAGGAAAGACAUUGUCACAGGGUGCAGCAGGUCUUCCAGGGCUCUCCUGGGAAAGCAGAUCCUUUCGUGGUGAAAGCUUUGCAGCAGUCAAGGCACGUGGCAUUCUGUUUUCCCUAGGAGGUGCAAUUUGUUGCAUGACAGGGCUCUUCUACCCUGUUCCCAAGUGAAUAGACUGGGAAAAGACCCACCUAGAUGUUUUGCUGGGCUGCAAUAAAAAUGUGUCACCAGUGGAGAUGUAGUAACAGGGUUCUUCCUAUAUUUAGCUGGUAACAUUUUGAAAUUCACAUAAGGGACCUAAGCAAAAGACCCAAGGGGAUGAAACCUUCUAAAUCAUUCAGCAGUCUGAGUAUGUUAUCUGCCAUCUCUUUUUCACUGGAAAACAGAUGACUCAUUUUCUCAGGGGAGUUUCUUUCAUCUGUCAGCUGAUUUGACCAGUCUGGCUUCUGGCUGAGGCACACAAGUAUUUAUUGUGCAGCCACAGUAGUGCAUCUUGCUGCAUUGCUGUGAAAAGUUGAAUCCCCCUUCCAUUGUAGUUUCUAGCUGGCUUAGGAACUUGCUGUUUGAAUGUAAGCAAGUGGUUCACAAGAGCACAAGGUGUUAGUGAUCAACACCAGAUGUUACUAGAUGUAAAUACGUAUGCAUUUUAAACCAAAUAAUGAGCAGCUCAAUUAUUUCUGCAUCUCUUGCCCAGGAAGUAAUGGGAAUGUCAGGACCCCUCUGCUAUAUUGCUGGUAGUUAGCAGUAUCUGAGGUUACUGAAAGGACAGUCUUGUUUAUCUGGGCUUGCAUGUGUUUGAGAAUUGCUUAGUCUAUAUGAACUGCUUCAUUCCCUUUCUACCAUGCAGGAGUUAUAUGGUGAAACAGCACCAUAAAAAUGACUCCACUUUAACAGCAACAAAGUGAUUGGAGGCAGAGGGGAGACUGAAGCCAAAAUUCAACCUCUGAAAUGCUCCUUCCAAAGUCUGCACACGGGAUAAAGUCCUCACUUCAGGGAUUAUUUUUUUUUUUUUUAAUAAGGGCAAAGCUGUGUUCACAGACUGAACUGCUCUUUUUUUUGCCCAACCAGCCCUCCAACAGCUACUGAUAUAAUUUACUCUCUUCACGCUACUAACUUUCAUUUUUCCAGUGUUCCUGAGCUAUGGCACUGAGAGCACAGUAUUCCCAUGCGUGUUCACGAAAGUCACACCAGUGCUAAAGCCAGGGACAAGUGCCUCCUUAAGCCUGCUUGAGAUUUCACAAAAGACUCAUUUACCCUCUCAGUGGUCAGCAGGUUGUCCAAGGAAACAAGGACUAAAACAGAGUGCAGAGAGAGGGUGACAAGUCCCAUGUUGUAGGAAUGGUCUCCAUUUGUUGCUCUGUAAGAUUGUCCAUUUGUUGUUCUCUUGCAGACACAUGACCAAUGAUCCAGAGCUUGCUGUACUAAAGAAUCAGCCUUUUCAUUAUUUUCCAGUCCUUUAAUCUUCUUACCACUUCAUAGCACUAUCAUUAAAGAUUUUACUGAUUAUGUAGUUCAA